AGCGUUGUUCGGAAUUACUGGGCGUAAAGGGCGCGUAGGCGGCCUGCUAAGUCGAACGUGAAAUCCCCGGGCUCAACCCGGGAACUGCGUCCGAUACUGGCAGGCUUGAAUCCGGGAGAGGGAUGUGGAAUUCCAGGUGUAGCGGUGAAAUGCGUAGAUAUCUGGAGGAACACCGGUGGCGAAGGCGGCAUCCUGGACCGGUAUUGACGCUGAUGCGCGAAAGCCAGGGGAGCAAACGGG
rnacentral:rRNA from 1 species